AUGCAAGUCGAGGGGUAUAGUUCUUCGGAACUAGAGACCGGCGCACGGGUGCGUAACGCGUAUGCAAUCAACCUUUCACAAAGGGAUAGCCCAGAGAAAUUUGGAUUAAUACCUUAUAGUAUAACGACUUCGCAUGGAGAUGUUAUUAAAGAUUUAUCGGUGAAAGAUGAGCAUGCGUCCCAUUAGCUAGUUGGUAAGGUAACGGCUUACCAAGGCUACGAUGGGUAGGGGUCCUGAGAGGGAGAUCCCCCACACUGGUACUGAGACACGGACCAGACUCCUACGGGAGGCAGCAGUGAGGAAUAUUGGUCAAUGGGCGCAAGCCUGAACCAGCCAUGCCGCGUGCAGGAUGACGGUCCUAUGGAUUGUAAACUGCUUUUGUACAGGAAGAAACACUCCCUCGUGAGGGAGCUUGACGGUACUGUAAGAAUAAGGAUCGGCUAACUCCGUGCCAGCAGCCGCGGUAAUACGGAGGAUCCAAGCGUUAUCCGGAAUCAUUGGGUUUAAAGGGUCCGUAGGCGGCUUAAUAAGUCAGUGGUGAAAGCCCUACGCUUAACGUAGGAACGGCCAUUGAUACUGUUAGGCUUGAAUUAUUAGGAAGUAACUAGAAUAUGUAGUGUAGCGGUGAAAUGCUUAGAGAUUACAUGGAAUACCAAUUGCGAAGGCAGGUUACUACUAAUGGAUUGACGCUGAUGGACGAAAGCGUGGGUAGCGAACAGGAUUAGAUACCCUGGUAGUCCACGCCGUAAACGAUGGAUACUAGCUGUUGGGAGCAAUUUCAGUGGCUAAGCGAAAGUGAUAAGUAUCCCACCUGGGGAGUACGAACGCAAGUUUGAAACUCAAAGGAAUUGACGGGGGCCCGCACAAGCGGUGGAGCAUGUGGUUUAAUUCGAUGAUACGCGAGGAACCUUACAAGGCUUAAAUGUAGUUUGACCGA
rnacentral:rRNA from 1 species